rnacentral:lncRNA from 1 species
CCGAGGAUGAACACACAAGAGAUUCACAGGAACAAACCAGACUACUGACUUGCUGCACUGAAGUUGCAAUACUUCUGAGACGUAGAUCUCCUUAUUAAUCUAGCUGAGUGUUUUGUUACCUGCAGCACAGAAACACUUUCCCUGAAAAACAGAUACAACUUUUAAAGCAUAAUUUUUAUUCUUUAGGUAUUCUGACUAUGAGCCAGGAUAAACACAUUACUCCCUUCUUUAACAAAAAGAGCAUGGUUAACUCCAAAGACUUCUCUAGACCAGCCUGGAUGGUACUUAAACUUUAAUCAACCAAUGCUCAAGUAAAAGAGCAGUAUCCAGCCCCAGCACACCUAACUGUUUUGCAUAACAUAGGUGCUCCUGACUGGAGAGCCCAGGCUGAGAUGGUGUUAAAUGCUUUUACCACGUGGGCUCCUGGCACCAAAUGAGCAAGGAUCUCACCCCACAGGCCUUGGAAACCUGAGGCAGUAUUCUUCUGGGAUGUUUCCAACUAGGCUUCCCAUGAGGAUGUUAGGGCCAGCCUGGCUGGUGAAUUUUACUUCUCUCA